rnacentral:miRNA from 1 species
AUUUGGGGGGGGGGGCAUAUUCAUAUAUUCGUGUUCACAUACCAUAAAAACAAUUGAUUUCAAAAGAAAUUAAUAAAGCAGAACACGAAUAUAUGAAUAUGCCCCCCCCCCCAAU